CGGAGGUGGCAAGCGUUACUCGGAAUCAUUGGGUGUAAAGGGCAAGUAGGCGGUCUAUUAAGUGAGGGGUGAAAUCUUCCGACUCAAUCGGAAAACUGCCUUUCAAACUGGUAGACUUGAGGUAGGAAGGGGGAAAUGGAAUUCCAGGUGUAAGGGUGAAAUCUGUAGAUAUCUGGAAGAACACCGGCGGCGAAGGCGAUUUCCUGGUCCUACCUGACGCUGAAUUGCGAAAGCUAGGGGAGCAAACAGAAUUAGAUACUCUGGUAGUCCUAGCCGUAAACGAUGAAUACUAGGUGUUGGUCCUUCUGGGAUCAGUGCCGCAGCUAACGCAUUAAGUAUUCCACCUGAGGACUACGGUCGCAAGGCUA
rnacentral:rRNA from 1 species